GGAUAGCUAAUACCGCAUACGACCUGAGGGUGAAAGCGGGGGAUCGCAAGACCUCGCGCGAUAGGAGCGGCCUAUAUCGGAUUAGCUUGUUGGUGAGGUAAAGGCUCACCAAGGCGACGAUCCGUAGCGGGUCUGAGAGGACGACCCGCCACACUGGAACUGAGACACGGUCCAGACUCCUACGGGAGGCAGCAGUGGGGAAUUUUGGACAAUGGGGGCAACCCUGAUCCAGCCAUUCCGCGUGAGUGAAGAAGGCCUUCGGGUUGUAAAGCUCUUUCAGCAGGAACGAAACGGUGAGGGUUAAUACCCUUUACUAAUGACGGUACCUGAAGAAGAAGCACCGGCUAACUACGUGCCAGCAGCCGCGGUAAUACGUGAGUGCGAGCGUUAAUCGGAAUUACUGGGCGUAAAGCGUGCGCAGGCGGUUAUGUAAGACAGGUGUGAAAUCCCCGGGCUCAACCUGGGAACUGCGCUUGUGACUGCAUAACUUGAGUGUGGCAGAGGGGGGUGGAAUUCCACGUGUAGCAGUGAAAUGCGUAGAGAUGUGGAGGAACACCGAUGGCGAAGGCAGCCCCCUGGGUCAACACUGACGCUCAUGCACGAAAGCGUGGGGAGCAAACAGGAUUAGAUACCCUGGUAGUCCACGCCCUAAACGAUGCGAACUAGGUGUUGGGGAAGGAGACUUUCUUAGUACCGCAGCUAACGCGUGAAGUUCGCCGCCUGGGGAGUACGGUCGCAAGAUUAAAACUCAAAGGAAUUGACGGGGACCCGCACAAGCGGUGGAUGAUGUGGAUUAAUUCGAUGCAACGCGAAAAACCUUACCUACCCUUGACAUGUCAGGAGGUCUGCUGAGAGGUGGAUGUGCUCGAAAGAGAACCUGAACACAGGUGCUGCAUGGCUGUCGUCAGCUCGUGUCGUGAGAUGUUGGGUUAAGUCCCGCAACGAGCGCAACCCUUGUCAUUAAUUGCCAUCAUUCAGUUGGGCACUUUAAUGAGACUGCCGGUGACAAACCGGAGGAAGGUGGGGAUGACGUCAAGUCCUCAUGGCCCUUAUGGGUAGGGCUUCACACGUCAUACAAUGGUCGGUACAGAGGGUCGCCAACUCGCGAGGGGGAGCCAAUCCCACAAAGCCGAUCGUAGUCCGGAUCGCAGUCUGCAACUCGACUGCGUGAAGUCGGAAUCGCUAGUAAUCGUGGAUCAGCAUGUCACGGUGAAUACGUUCCCGGGUCUUGUACACACCGCCCGUCACACCAUGGGAGUGGGUUCCACCAGAAGUAGGUAGUCUAACCGCAAGGAGGGCGCUUACCACGGUGGGAUUCAUGACUGGGGUGAAGUCGUAACAAGGUA
rnacentral:rRNA from 1 species